AGAGUUUGAUCAUGGCUCAGAUUGAACGCUGGCGGCGUGCCUAACACAUGCAAGUCGAGCGGUAACGCGGGAGCAAUCCUGGCGACGAGCGGCGAACGGGUGAGUAACGCUUCGGAAUCUGCCCAGUAGUGGGGAAUAACCAGCCGAAAGGUUGGCUAAUGCCGCAUACGACCCAUGGGUGAAAGCGGGGGAUCGCAAGA
rnacentral:rRNA from 1 species